GACGAACGCUGGCGGCGUGCUUAACACAUGCAAGUCGAACGGAGUGGCGAACGGGUGAGUAACACGUCGGUGAUCUGCCUUGCACUAUGGGAUAAGCUUGGGAAACUGGGUCUAAUACCGGAUAGUCCAAGAUGAGCUCGCGGCCUAUCAGCUCGUGGGUGGGGUAAUGACCUACCAAGGCGUCAACGGGUAGCCGGCCUGAGAGGGUGUACGGCCAUAUUGGGACUGAGAUACGGCCCAGACGCGUACGGGAGGCAGCAGGGGGGAAUAUUGCACAAGGGGCGGAAGCCUGAUGCAGCGACGCCGCGUGGGGGAUGACGGCCUUCGGGUGGUAAACUCCUUUCGAGAGGAACGCGGUACCUGUAUAAGAAGCACCGGCUAACUACGUGCCAGCAGCCGCGGUAAUUC
rnacentral:rRNA from 1 species